GUUUCUGUGGCCCAUUUAGUUAGCACAUUUGACUGUUAACCAAAAGGUUGGUGGUUCAUGCCCACCCAGGGACG
rfam:Tupaia chinensis contig59688, whole genome shotgun sequence.